GACGAACGCUGGCGGCGUGCUUAACACAUGCAAGUCGAACGGUAAGGCCCUGCUUUUGUGGUUUUCUCGAGUGUCGAACAGGUGAGUAUCACGUGUGUAUCCUGCCCUUUACUUUGGGAUAACUUCAGUAAACUGGGGCUAUUACCGGAUAUGAGCUCCUGCUGCAUGGUGGGUGUUGGAAAGUUUCGGCGGUUGGGCAUGGACUCGCGGCUUUUCAGCUUGUUGGUGGGGUAGUGGCUUACCAAGGCUUUGACGGGUAGCCGGCCUGGGAGGGUGACCGGCCCCAUUGGGACUGAGGUACGGCCCAGACUGAUACGGGAGGAAGGAGUGGAGAAUAUUGCAAGAAGGGCGGAAGCCUGAUGCAGGAACGCCGGGUGCGAGAUGACGGCCUUCGGGUUGUAAACCGCUUUCGCCUGUGAAGAAGAGUGAGUGACGGUAAUGGGUAAAGAAGCAACGGCUAACUACGUG
rnacentral:rRNA from 1 species